rnacentral:rRNA from 2 species
UUAUACCCCCCGGGAAAACUAGCAUAUCAAUAAGCGGAGGAAAAGAAACCAACAGGGAUUGCCCUAGUAACGGCGAGUGAAGCGGCAACAGCUCAAAUUUGAAAUCUGGCUCCUUUGGGGUCCGAGUUGUAAUUUGCAGAGGGUGCUUUGGCGUUGGCUGUGGUCUAAGUUCCUUGGAACAGGACGUCACAGAGGGUGAGAAUCCCGUACGUGGCCGCCAGCCUCCGCCGUGUAAAGCCCCUUCGACGAGUCGAGUUGUUUGGGAAUGCAGCUCUAAAUGGGAGGUAAAUUUCUUCUAAAGCUAAAUAUCUGCCAGAGACCGAUAGCGCACAAGUAGAGUGAUCGAAAGAUGAAAAGCACUUUGGAAAGAGAGUCAAAAAGCACGUGAAAUUGUUGAAAGGGAAGCGCUUGCAGCUAGACGUGCCUCUGGAUGAUCAGCCGGGCUUCUGCCUGGUGCACUCUUCCUCUGGCAGGCCAGCAUCAGUUUGGGCGGCUGGAUAAAGGUCUGUUAAACGUGACUCCCUUUGGGGAGAGCUUAUAGGGCAGACGACAUGCAGCCAGCCCGGACUGAGGUCCGCGCAUCUGCUAGGAUGCUGGCAUAAUAGCUGUAAGCGGCCCGUCUUGAAACACGGACCAAGGAGUCUAACAUCUAUGCGAGUGUUUGGGUGUCAAGCCCGAGCGCGUAAUGAAAGUGAACGGAGGUGGGAACCCUUUGGGUGCACCAUCGACCGAUCCCGACGUCUUCUGAUGGAUUUGAGUAAGAGCAUAGCUGUUGGGACCCGAAAGAUGGUGAACUAUGCCUGAAUAGGGUGAAGCCAGAGGAAACUCUGGUGGAGGCUCGCAGCGGUUCUGACGUGCAAAUCGAUCGUCAAAUUUGGGCAUAGGGGCGAAAGACUAAUCGAACUAUCUAGUAGCUGGUUCCUGCCGAGACCCCUCGUCGGGGAAA